AGCAGGCGCGUGCUAUACAUGCAGUCGAGCGGACCUCUUCGGAGGUCAGCGGCGGACGGGUGAGUAACACGUGGGCAACCUGCCUGUAAGACUGGGAUAACUCCGGGAAACCGGAGCUAAUACCGGAUACUAUGUCAAACCGCAUGGUUUGACAUUCAAAGACGGUUUCGGCUGUCACUUACAGAUGGGCCCGCGGCGCAUUAGCUAGUUGGUGAGGUAAUGGCUCACCAAGGCGACGAUGCGUAGCCGACCUGAGAGGGUGAUCGGCCACACUGGGACUGAGACACGGCCCAGACUCCUACGGGAGGCAGCAGUAGGGAAUCUUCCGCAAUGGACGAAAGUCUGACGGAGCAACGCCGCGUGAGUGAUGAAGGUUUUCGGAUCGUAAAACUCUGUUGUCAGGGAAGAACAAGUGCCGGAGUAACUGCCGGCGCCUUGACGGUACCUGACCAGAAAGCCACGGCUAACUACGUGCCAGCAGCCGCGGUAAUACGUAGGUGGCAAGCGUUGUCCGGAAUUAUUGGGCGUAAAGCGCGCGCAGGCGGUUUCUUAAGUCUGAUGUGAAAGCCCCCGGCUCAACCGGGGAGGGUCAUUGGAAACUGGGAAACUUGAGUGCAGAAGAGGAGAGUGGAAUUCCACGUGUAGCGGUGAAAUGCGUAGAGAUGUGGAGGAACACCAGUGGCGAAGGCGACUCUCUGGUCUGUAACUGACGCUGAGGCGCGAAAGCGUGGGGAGCGAACAGGAUUAGAUACCCUGGUAGUCCACGCCGUAAACGAUGAGUGCUAAGUGUUAGAGGGUUUCCGCCCUUUAGUGCUGCAGCUAACGCAUUAAGCACUCCGCCUGGGGAGUACGGUCGCAAGACUGAAACUCAAAGGAAUUGACGGGGGCCCGCACAAGCGGUGGAGCAUGUGGUUUAAUUCGAAGCAACGCGAGAACCUUACCAGGUCUUGACAUCCUUUGCCACUUCUAGAGAUAGAAGUUCCCCUUCGGGGACAAAGUGACAGUGUGCAUGGUGUCGUCAGCUCGUGUCGUGAGAUGUGGGUUAAGUCCCGCACGAGCGCAACUCUUGAUCUAGUU
rnacentral:rRNA from 2 species